rnacentral:tRNA from 1 species
GGGGAUGUGGCACAAGUGGUAGUGCGCUCACCUGGCAUGCGCGGGGCGCUGGGUUCGAUCCUCAGCACCACA